rnacentral:rRNA from 1 species
GACGAACGCUGGCGGCGUGCUUAACACAUGCAAGUCGAACGGAAAGGCCCUGCUUUUGUGGGGUGCUCGAGUGGCGAACGGGUGAGUAACACGUGAGUAACCUGCCCUUGACUUUGGGAUAACUUCAGGAAACUGGGGCUAAUACCGGAUAGGAGCUCCUGCUGCAUGGUGGGGGUUGGAAAGUUUCGGCGGUUGGGGAUGGACUCGCGGCUUAUCAGCUUGUUGGUGGGGUAGUGGCUUACCAAGGCUUUGACGGGUAGCCGGCCUGAGAGGGUGACCGGCCACAUUGGGACUGAGAUACGGCCCAGACUCCUACGGGAGGCAGCAGUGGGGAAUAUUGCACAAUGGGCGGGAGCCUGAUGCAGCAACGCCGCGUGCGGGAUGACGGCCUUCGGGCUGUAAACCGCUUUCGCCUGUGACGAAGCGUGAGUGACGGUAAUGGGUAAAGAAGCACCGGCUAACUACGUG